GUCCAUAUUCGCAUCGGUGAAUUUAUGUACUAAAUUUGGGGCAUAAACUGAUGAUCUCUCCAUAAAAUUAGAUAUUUUAUGUAUUUUUAUAUGUUUUUAAAAUUAGUAUAAUAUUAUUUACUGGCACCUAUGCUAUAAAAAGGCUAAAUGGUGCAUUUGGUUGAAGGUUAAGUUAUUUACCUCUAAUAUUAGGGAUCAAUUCCUACUUAAUACAUUUUUUUCUUAUUUUUUUUCCUAGUGGUGUACUUGGUUGAAGAUUAACUUAUUUACCUAGAGGAUUAGGGAUCAAUUCCCUCUUAAUACAUUAUUCCUUCUUUUUUUUUUAGUGAUGCACCCAUAUUUUAAAAAUCCUAAAUUCGCCUCGGCAUAUUCUUGUACUGCAGAGAAUUUAAAGUGCUGCCUUUGUGCUACAACUUUUGGAUAGAAUUAUGAAAAGUGCUAGUAUGCGUUUUUUUAUUUUGGUUUUUUUCCCUUCAUUUAACUUAAAUAACUUUUCUUUUUGUUUUCCAUCCGAUCCGAUGUUGGAGUCCGAUAUAUCUGGAUUAGCCAAAUGAAUUCAUACGGAGACCAAUAACUGAUCAAACUGUUGGUGCAAAAUUUUAAGGAGUUUAACUCCUAAAUUUAAUCAUGUUGUUGCUGCAAUUGAGGAGUCGAAAUACUUGUCGACUUUUUCAUUUGAUGAACUAAUGGGUUCUUUACAAUCUCAUGAGGCAAGAAUAAACAGGUCAGCAGGAAGAAAAAGCAUAUCAAUUGAAGGCGGAGGCACCAAAUUCAAGAGAACAUGAUAAGACAACAAUAGGAAGAGGACAAGGCAGAGGUGCAUUUCAUGGAAAUAGCCAUGGUCGACACCGGGGCAGAGGCUUUCAACAAUGGCACACCUAUGAGCAAAGAGGCAAUUGAAGCAACACACAAUGUCAUCAUUGCAUGAAGUUCGGGCAUAUGCAAGCAUAUAUUGCUGGUACAAGGAGAAACAAGUGAAUUAUGCCGAGACAACUAAUGAAGAAAGCAUGAAGUCAAUCUUCAAAGAGCUUGACGCGACACAAAAAACUACUGUCAAUCUUGGUGAUAACAACAACCUUCAAAUUGAAGGAAAAGGAACAGUAGGAAUCAGAAACAGUCAUGGUGAAGUAAAGCUUCUACCUGAUGUUCAAUUUGUUCCUAGUUUGGCACACAAUUUAUUAAGUGUUGUACAACUAAUGGCUAGCGGAUAUUCACUUUUGUUUGUGAUGGAGCAUGUGUUAUUAAAGAUAAAAAAAAAUAGGUCAAAUGAUGGUUUACAUGGCUGAAAACAAAAUGUUUCCAUUAGAAGUUUCAAUGUGGAAACUUUUGCUUUGGUUACUAGUGCAAGAAAUGACUCUGAGUUGUGACAUUUGAGGUACGACCAUCUUAAUUUCAAGGGGAUAAAUUUGUUCGGACAAAAAGGUAUGGUCAUUGGAUUACUAAAAAUUAAUUCUUUUGAUUCAUGCGAGGGUUUCAUUUAUGUGAAGCAAAGUAGAAAUUCAUUUUCUGUCGGAAAGUCUUGAAGAACUUCUUCUUGCUUUGGUCCAAUGAAUACUGAAUCUUUUAGUGGGAGUCGAUAUUUUUUACUCAUCACAGAUGGUUUCAGCUGCAUAAGCUGGGUGUAUUUUCUGAAAUACAAAUCAGAAGUUUUUGAGAAUUUCAGAAAAUACAAAGCUUUGGUGGAGAAUCAGAGUGGGUUGUGCAUAAAAACUCUUCGAACGGACAGAGGUGAGUUCUUAUCUAAUGAAUUUAUCUAUUUUUGUGAAGAAAAUGGAAUUCGCAGGGAACUUACAGCACCUUACUCGCCAGAGCAAAAUGGGGUAGCUGAACACAAGAAUUUUACCGUUGUGAAGAUGGCAAGAAGGUUACUGAAAGGAAAGGGACUUCCAAAAUAGUGGGCAGAAGCAGUUGCAACCUCAGUGUAUCUGCUAAACCUAUCUCCUACAAAGGUCGUGAUGAAUCAAACGCCAUAUGAAGCUAGGAAGUGUAUAAGACCUCCACUUAAGAAUUUUCGGGUGUACUGCUUAUGCUUUGGUUAACUCUCAAACUCGUCAAAAACUAGAUGAAAAAUCACAAAAAUAUAUUUUCAUCGGUUAUUGUCUUGAAUCCAAAGCAUAUAGGUUAUAUAAUCCUCUUAGUGGCAAAGUGAUAAUUAGCAGAAAUGUUGUAUUUGAUGAAAAAUCAAGCUGGAAUAGGAGUGAAAAACAAGAACAAUAGGAGAUUUCAAUACUCAUUGAAGACUCUCCAGAUGAAAGACAAGAGUCUGCCCCAAAUGCACUUAAAGGAGCAAUUGCACCAGAGAAAUCUGAGGCACUUGAAGAGCCUUCAAUUCAGCAAAUUCCGCUAAGAAGAUCAACAAGAGUAAGAAAAUCAAAUCCCAGAUAUUCUAAUGCAUUUUGUCAAUUUCCUUUAUUGUUUCAUAUCCUAUAUCUUAUGAAGAAGCAAUCGGAAAUGAAGAGUGGAAGAAUGCGAUGAAGGAAGAACUGAUGGCAAUUCACAGAAAUGAAACUUUGUCAAAUGAAAAGAAUAUUUUUGGCCUAAAGUGGAUAUUCAAAACAAAGUAUCAUGUAGAUGGAAGUGGACAACAGCACAAGGCAAGACUUGUCGCAACGGGAUACUCGCAGCACCAUGAUAUCAAUUUUGAAGAAACUUUUUCUCCUAUUACUCAAUUUGAAACAGUAAGAACAAUUUUAGCAUUAGCUGCUCAAUUGAACUGGUCACUUUAUCAACUUGAUGUUAAGUCAGCACUCUUGAAUGGUGAGGUGGAAGAGGAGGUUUGUGUUGCUCAACCUGAAGGUUUUGAAAUCAAUGGCCAAGAGGAAAAGGUGUUCAAGUUGAAGAAGGCACUUUAUGGUUGAAACAAGCGCCACACGCCUGGUAUAGCAAAAUUAAUUCCUAUUUUUUGCAAAUUUGAAAGGAGAGAAAGUGAGCCUACUCUCUACUUGAGGAAGUGAGGUUUAUGAGCAAUCCAUCGACGCAUCAAGUUGGAGCUGCAAAAAGAAUUUUACACUAUGUUGCUGGAACACUUGAAUAUGAUAUUUGGUAUUCACAUGUUUCAGAUUUUAGAUUAUUAGGCUUUACUGACAGUGAUCGGGCAGACUCGAUGAGUGAUAGGAAGAGUAUUUUAGGCAACGUUUUUAGUCUUGGAUCAGGUGCAAUAACAUAGAGUUCGGAGAAACAAGUAACAACGACAUUGCCGUCUUCAGAGGCAGAGUAUGUCGCAGCAACUUCUGCAGCUUGUCAAUGCAUUUGGCUUAGGAGAAUUUUGGCUGAUCUCUACCAGACGCAAGAGAAAGCAACUGAUAUUUUUUGUGACAAUAAAUCCUCAAUUGCAAUGACUAAGAAUCCUGCGUUUCAUGGAAGAACAAAGCAUAUUAAUAGUUGCUUCCAUUUUAUUCGUGAGCUGGUGGAGAAAGAAGAUAUCAUAUUGAAGUUUUGCAACACCAAUGAACAAGUAGCAGAUAUAUUAACAAAAGCACUGCCAUAUCAGAAUCACGUCUACUUCAGAUCAUUGCUUGGUGUUAGCGAUUUUGAAUCAAGGGGGAAUGUUGAAUAAGUGAUUCAAAAAGAAAGAGAGAAAAAAGUUACUGCAGCUUUUUUAGUAUUUUUUUAAUUGCUUUUUGACUUAGUCUAAGUUAGUUAUUAUUUGGUCCUUCAAAUUUUGAUUUCAGUUGUAAUGCACGACAGAUUUAGUGCCAAUAUUUUCUCCAUAUCUAGUGCAUUUUAGCUGAGAUAUAAUGCCUAUUUAAAGGCUUCUCUGGUGAUGAAUAAAAGUAUCCAUUGUAAUAUCA